AAUUAACCUUUACACCUUACACCUUUGAGCUUUUUAAAUAUGCAGGUGUUUCCUCUUCUCAACCUUUAGGGUAUAAUUGUGUGACCUAUAAAGUCCAAGGGAAUAUUCCUUUAUUGUCAGGAUCAAAUAACUGGGGAAUUUGAAAAAGAUUGUUUAGAAAAUUUUUCUGAAGAGUAAAAUCUUAAUAUUUCUGUCGUUUCCUUAUUUGUAUGUGGUGGAAGUAUUCACUCAUUAUGCCAGUGAGCCUCCAGAAUGGCCCCAGUGAUCCUUGCCUCCUGGAAUUUGUGAUACUUUCUAGCCCCUUCCUACAUUGAGUAGGACUUAACCCGUGUAGCCAGUAGAACAUGGCAGCAAUGAAGGUGUGUGACUUUAAGACUGGGUCAUAAAAGACAUUGCAGCUUGCCCCCUAUCUUUUUUUGAAUCACUCUGGGGGAUGCCAUCCACCAUGUUGGGA